rnacentral:rRNA from 1 species
AGAUUGAACGCUAGCGGGAUGCUUUACACAUGCAAGUCGAACGGCAGCGCGGACUUCGGUCUGGCGGCGAGUGGCGAACGGGUGAGUAAUAUAUCGGAACGUGCCCAGUAGCGGGGGAUAACUACGCGAAAGCGUGGCUAAUACCGCAUACGCCCUACGGGGGAAAGGGGGGAUCUCGAACUCUCACUAUUGAGCGGCCGAUAUCAGAUUAGCUAGUUGGUGAGGUAAAGGACGUCACCAAGGCGACGAAUCUGUAGCUGGUUUGUAGAGGACGACCAGCCACACUGGACUGAGACACGGCCCAGACUCCUACGGGAGGCAGCAGUGGGGAAGUUUGGUACAAAUGGGGGGAAAACCCGUCGAUCCAGCCACUCCCGCCGCGUGCGAUGAAAGGGCCUUCGGGUUGUAAAGACGACCUUUUGGUC